rnacentral:tRNA from 1 species
UGCCCGGUGGUGUAGUGGUAGCACAGGGGACUUUGGAUCCCCUGACCCUGGUUCGAAUCCAGGCCGGGCAGCCA